GAUGAACGCUGGCGGCAUGCCUAACACAUGCAAGUCGAUCGGUAAGGCUCUUCGGAGUACCCGAGAGGCGGACGGCUGAGUAACGCGUAGGAACACACCCUGCAGUGAGUGAUAAGACACCGAAAGGUGUUCUAAUACCGCAUACGGUCUUCGGAUUAAAGCAUUUAUGCGCUGAAGGAGUGGCCUGCGUCAUAUUAGAUAGUUGGUGAGGUAAUGGCUCACCAAGUCGAUGAUGUGUAGCUGGUCUGAGAGGAUGAUCAGCCAGACUGGAACUGAGACACGGUCCAGACUCCUACGGGAGGCAGCAGUGAGGAAUAUUGCACAAUGAGCGAAAGCUUGAUGGAGCAAUGCCGCGUGCAGGAUGAAGGCCCUCGGGUUGUAAACUGCUUUUAUAAGAGAAGAUUAUGACGGUAACUUAUGAAUAAGGGACGGCUAACUACGUG
rnacentral:rRNA from 1 species